CGGACAGUGUCUGGUGGGUAGUUUGACUGGGGCGGUCUCCUCCUAAAGAGUAACGGAGGAGCACGAAGGUUGGCUAAUCCUGGUCGGACAUCAGGAGGUUAGUGCAAUGGCAUAAGCCAGCUUGACUGCGAGCGUGACGGCGCGAGCAGGUGCGAAAGCAGGUCAUAGUGAUCCGGUGGUUCUGAAUGGAAGGGCCAUCGCUCAACGGAUAAAAGGUACUCCGGGGAUAACAGGCUGAUACCGCCCAAGAGUUCAUAUCGACGGCGGUGUUUGGCACCUCGAUGUCGGCUCAUCACAUCCUGGGGCUGAAGUAGGUCCCAAGGGUAUGGCUGUUCGCCAUUUAAAGUGGUACGCGAGCUGGGUUUAGAACGUCGUGAGACAGUUCGGUCCCUAUCUGCCGUGGGCGCUGGAGAACUGAGGGGGGCUGCUCCUAGUACGAGAGGACCGGAGUGGACGCAUCACUGGUGUUCGGGUUGUCAUGCCAAUGGCACUGCCCGGUAGCUAAAUGCGGAAGAGAUAAGUGCUGAAAGCAUCUAAGCACGAAACUUGCCCCG
rnacentral:rRNA from 1 species